GCCGACGAGUCCUCUCCUCUCUCCCCUUCUCUGGCUCUGUCCGCCCGUCUCCCCUUUCUCCGUCGAUGGCGGCUGGAACGACGAGCGCUCGCGGCGGUGGGGAAUGGCGUGCGCUCACGGCGGCAGCGGGGAAAGGCGAGCUUAGCCGCCUCCCAGCCCCUGUCUCCACAAGCUUCCCUCAGCGCGAUUUUGGCGUACCCUAGAUUCAUGAGCUACCAAAACUGCUCAUCCCCUCUCCCCUCUUUCUCCCUCCUCUUCUUUGUCCGUCGGUGGUGGUGGAGACCGGCAUGCAUUCUUAUUCAGCUCCUCUUCACCGCAGCGUAGCAGGAGGCAAGAUUGCGAGGACGGCGAUGACCGAGUGGACCAUGGGAACGGCGGUGGUUCACCAUGGAGAACGGCCGAGGGAGUGACCGUGGCGGCCCUACGCGACAGCGGCCGGAAGGGUUCCACCAGCGAGCAACCUAGUGGCGGAGGGAUUGACCGUGGCAGUUGGACGCGGAAGCGAGCGGCUGUCAGGGUGGAACGGCAGUGGCGAGCGGUGGUGCUGACGCCGCUGCAUCGAAUAAGAAUUGCAGAGCAAGGAGUGGCAAUACAGGAGCAGUCACCUUCAGCAGCAGGUGGCCACGGGAAGACGGACAACAGGUCGGCUAAGCGCGCAUGUAAAUCGCCUGGCAGCACCAUGGUCGUGGAAGAGCGAUGGCCCUGGUCUAGAAGGUGCUGACCGUGAGGCAUCGACCACAUCCUAGGCUCCUAGCACAAUUCUCAACAAUUUAAUUGGACAUGCAUCUCCUGCUACCGCUACAUCUAUGAAGGUCUCAUCAAUAUCAGAUAUGUAUAUGUGCACUCUCUGCCCGGUUCUGUAAUUCAACUAAACUGUAAGCCAGGUUGAUUUUGGCUGCUUUCAGGUUAUUAUUUCCUGUAUUAUGACUUAUUUUAAGAUUCUGCCAAAUGCCUAGGUUUAUUUCAAGAUUAUGACUUUUAGCUGUAAAAUUAUUUCAUGUAUUAUGACUUAUUUCAAGAUUUUGCCAAAAACCAUUGGACAAAAACAACAACUGCACCUAGGCUUAUAGGAAAUUACUUGCUCCGCUCACUUCAUCUCACACUAAAUCUUUUACAGCUGCCCUAAUUUACCCCUUCAAUUCGUAUUUUAUAUCUAUGUUUUAUCGUUAUUUUGAGUCCAAAAGUAGUAUUUUUUAUCCUUGAUUACUAUGUAAAAAUUAGAAUAAGAAACCUGCUUGCCGAGGUGCAAUUGAUUUCCAUUUUUCUGAAGACCCCCAUCCCCAUGGCUUAUGAUGGUUAAUAAUUGUGUUCAGCCUGUAGUGUUCAGAGUUAUACUGAAAUAUGGCUGUUUGUACCUUCUGGCCGUCUCCAAUGUUUUGAACAUUUCAUUGUAUAUAGUCAUACCUAUGGACUACUUCCUUUUUCCCAAAAAGCAUCCACCUUUGAUUUUUGGUGAAGAUACUAAGCAAAACAAUAGCCAGCGGUUUAUGUGUUUGAUUACUUAAUAAUUGUUUGGCUCACUGUAUGUAUUUCCAUUAA